rnacentral:rRNA from 1 species
AGUGAACGCUGGCGGUAGGCCUAACACAUGCAAGUCGAACGGCAGCACAGUAAGAGCUUGCUCUUACGGGUGGCGAGUGGCGGACGGGUGAGGAAUACAUCGGAAUCUACUUUUUCGUGGGGGAUAACGUAGGGAAACUUACGCUAAUACCGCAUACGACCUACGGGUGAAAGCAGGGGAUCUUCGGACCUUGCGCGAUUGAAUGAGCCGAUGUCGGAUUAGCUAGUUGGCGGGGUAAAGGCCCACCAAGGCGACGAUCCGUAGCUGGUCUGAGAGGAUGAUCGGCCACACUGGAACUGAGACACGGUCCAGACUCCUACGGGAGGCAGCAGUAGGGAAUCUUCCACAAUGGGCGAAAGCCUGACGCAGCAAUGCCGCGUGAGUGAAGAAGGUCUUCGGAUCGUAAAGCUCUGUUGUUGGGAAAGAACAAAUGUAUAAGUAACUACGCACGUCCUGACGGUACCUAAACAGAAAGCAACGGCUAACUUCGUG